UACGUAGGGACCGAGCGUUGUCCGGAAUCAUUGGGCGUAAAGAGCGUGUAGGCGGCCACUUAAGUCCUGCGUGAAAUCUUGCGGCUCAACCGCAAGCGGUCGUGGGAAACUGGGUGGCUAGAGUGCGGGAGAGGAGAGUGGAAUUCCUGGUGUAGCGGUGGAAUGCGCAGAUAGUCAGGAAGAACACCCGUGGCGAAGGCGGCUCUCUGGAACGCAACUGACGCUGAGACGUGAAAGCGUGGGGAGCAAACAGG
rnacentral:rRNA from 1 species